GACGAACCGUCCAAACGUUAUUCGGAAUCACUGGGCUUAAAGGGUGCGUAGGCGGCCCGGAAAGUUGGGUGUGAAAUCCCUCGGCUCAACCGAGGAAUUGCGUCCAAAACUACCGGGCUUGAGGGAGACAGAGGUAAGCGGAACUUAGGGUGGAGCGGUGAAAUGCGUUGAUAUCCUAAGGAACACCAGGAGCGAAAGCGGCUUACUGGGUCUCUUCUGACGCUGAGGCACGAAAGCUAGGGGAGCGAACGGG
rnacentral:rRNA from 1 species